rnacentral:rRNA from 1 species
AGCGAACGCUGGCGGCAGGCCUAACACAUGCAAGUCGAACGAAGCCUUCGGGCUUAGUGGCGGACGGGUGAGUAACACGUGGGAACGUACCUUUUGGUUCGGAAUAACGCAGAGAAAUUUGCGCUAAUACCGAAUGAGCCCUUCGGGGGAAAGAUUUAUCGCCGAAAGAUCGGCACGCGUUGGAUUAGGUAGUUGGUGUGGUAAAGGCGCACCAAGCCUACGAUCCAUAGCUGGUCUGAGAGGAUGAUCAGCCACACUGGGACUGAGACACGGCCCAGACUCCUACGGGAGGCGGCAGUGGGGAAUCUUGCGCAAUGGGCGAAAGCUUGACGCAGCCAUGCCGCGUGAAUGAUGAAGGUCUUAGGAUUGUAAAAUUCUUUUACCAGGGACGAUAAUGACAGUACCUGGAGAAAAAGCCCCGGCUAACUUCGUGCCAGCCGCCGCGGUAAUAC